GUUUGGUGGGACGGCGGGUCUAUAAAAGAGGAUCCGAUCGCCGGCGCCCAUUUGCUUUUGUGGCGCAGGAGGAGCCAGAGCUCGGCUAGUGGUGUGCGACUGUGCCAGGGAGUGACGAGCGGGUCGGUAACGGUAACUAUCAAGAUGGUGGAAGCAGAUCGUCCUGGAAAACUCUUCAUCGGUGGCCUUAAUACUGAAACAAAUGAAAAGGCACUUGAAGCAGUGUUUGGCAAAUAUGGAAGAAUAGUUGAAGUUCUUCUAAUGAAAGAUCGUGAAACAAACAAAUCAAGGGGUUUUGCUUUUAUUACUUUCGAAAGUCCAGGAGAUGCAAGGGAUGCAGCCAGGGAUAUGAAUGGAAAGUCUUUGGAUGGAAAACCCAUUAAAGUAGAACAAGCUACUAAACCAGCAUUUGAAAAUAGUGGACGACGUGGACCACCCCCACCCCCAAGAAGCCGUGGUCCUCCUAGGGGGAUUCGAGGUGGAAGAGGAGGUAGUGGAGGAAUGAGAGGUCCACCUCAAAAAGUCACCUCUAGAGGACCACCAUUGAAAAGGGGUCCCCCAGGACGUGCAAAUGGACCCCCACCUAAAAGACCUCUUCCUUCGGGGCCAAUGCGAACUGGGGGAAUGGGCGGAAGAGGAAGUGGAUCGAGAGGACCUCCCUCGCGUGAAAGGGACAGCUAUGGUUCACCUCCAUCCCGCAGAGAGAUGAUGCCGUCCAGAAGAGAUGAUUAUAUUCCCAGAGAAGAUUACUACUACAGAGACAAUUAUUCUAACAGAGAUUACCCAAGCUCUAGAGAUGCAAGAGAUUAUGGUCCACCACCAAGGGAUUCAUAUAGUUCCCGUGAAUAUUCCCACUCGGGUGGCCGUGAUGAUUAUGGAUCACGAGGCUAUAGUGAUCGAGAUGGAUAUGGUGGACGUGAGGCGCGUGACUAUUACAAUGAUCGCCCAAGUGGUGGCUCCUACAGAGACUCAUAUGAUGGCUAUGGAUGAGGAUAUAGAAAAUCGUUUUUGAAAAUUUUGAUGCGGAACUGUCCACCUGUUGGGUGAUUAUAUCCUGAGCUGAAUCACAGUGACGAUCAUUUAACCAGAUCAGGAAAAAUCUGGAUUUAAGUGAUGUGACCAUUGAAAAUCCUUAGUGGUGGAGCAGCAUAAAGUGUGGAAUAAUGAAGAGAGCUUGAACUCCAUUGGACCAUUUCAUGAGCUACAAGCCAUUCCUUUAAGCACUCUGCAGAGAACAAAAAAGGCAGUUGGAGCUAUAAUCCACCAUGUUUUUGAAGUGCAUUCUGAUUUCAUCUACAGCACAAUAUAAUAACCUCUGCCAAAAAAAGAGGGAGUAUUUAAAGGCAGUCUGUUUUUGUACAUCUGUUCUUCUGUUCACCUGUCUUUUUCAGUUAUCUUGAACAGUUGAGUGAUUAUUGUAAAGCUUGCAUUUCCUCAUGCCUGUCCAUAGUUGUCCUCUUUGCUGGGCUGCUGAUUCAUCUCCUGCGAUUAGAAUUAAUAUGAUAAACACGUAUUUCCUUGGAGAAGAUUGUCUAAAGGUGUGACAGAUUUUGAAGAAUGAGAUGAUCACAUUGCAGUAUUGGUAGUCAUACUAAUGGGAGGCUUGUUUCCCUAAGUUGCUAGGCUUGGAUCUAGGGGUUAUUUUCAGAUAACGGAUCAUUUCACGCUGGAAUUUCUUGCCAUGGAUCUUUAGUUGGCCACCAAAAGGGCUUUGGAUGCCUGAUGAGCAAGUAAAUAAUAGGUCAAGGGACAUGGGACACGAGGAGAAUUGAGGGGUCAUCAAUUGGGAAGCAAAAGUUUCCUUGUAAAUAUUUACUAAUUUCUUUAAUUAUAAUAAAUGAUAUGCUGCUGAGAUUGUGUUAAGCAAUGAGAUUUGAAUGUGGUAUGGGUGUGAAAUGAAAUGCAAAAGCCUUGCAUAAUAUCAAUCCUUGGAGUGGGGACAUUGUAGAUUUGGUGUCCUGAGUGUAAUAUUGCUACAUUUACCAUUGACUUGGCUAAGACUGAAUUGAGGUUGCAAGGUGAUGUAAACAAGUUGAAUGGGAAGAUAAUGGCAGAUGCUGGAGAAUAUGGAUGCAUGUGAACUAGAGAAGCAAGAGUAUUUAAACAGUAUUACGUAGGAAAUGUUAAUGUGCAGAUUGUCCUUGUACACCUGUCGCUGAAAGUGAACAUUCAGGUGGAGCAAGCAAUGAAAGCAAAUGGCUUGUUCACCUUCAUUGCAAGAGGCUUUGAACAGAGGAGCAUGGAUGUUUUCCUACAAUUAUGCAGAGCCUUGUUGAGACCACACAUGGAGUCUAAUAUUGGUUUCUGUAUCUAAGAAUAUAGGGCUCUUUAGUAAAGUUUACCAGACUGAUUCUUGGGUCGCAAGACUUUUGUAUUAGCAAUGAUGGGUCAAUUGUAUUCACUAGCACUUAGAAGAAUGGGAGGUGGUCUCAUUGAAACAUUAAAACUUCUGACAGAACUAGACUGGAUACAAGGAGGUUGUUUUCCCUGACAGGUCUAGAACUGGAGAUCAGCUUCAGGAAAUGGGUAAAACAUUUGGGUCACAUUGACAAGUGGUGAGCCUGUAGAAUUGUUUACUGCAAAGUGGUGAAGGCAAAGAUAUAUGCUGAAUAUAUUUAAGGAAAUGGGUGCCAAGGGAAAUGGUGAGAUUUUGUAUUGAGAGAGAUUCUUAUUGAAGAGAAUAGGUUUGAAGGGCACUUCAAUAAGGACUAAGGACCAGGGCUGGUAAAUAGGAUUAGUGUAGAUGGGUACUUGAUGGUCAGCAUGGAAGGGGCCCCUUUCUGUGCUGUUAACUAUAAUGGAAUGGCCUACUCGUAUUUUCCAUGCUUCUAACAGUGAUGUUGAAGCACCUCUCCUACAACUCAAACUUGAGCCGCACUUGGCAUUUUAAACAAUUGCAGUUGGCUUUUUGUUCCAAGUCCAGUGUUAAAAUUGUUGCCUCAUCCAAAGAGUGGAAAGUAGUGCUAGUAGUGUUGAAAAUUAGAUCUUCUAUCUUCACUGAGAAAUUAAAGAUUUGUAAAUGGCUCACUUAAUGCAUUUGUUAUUGUGCUGGAACACCUGAGUGAACCUUUUGAAAUGUACAAUGUUGCAUUUUGUUAUGUACAAAAAUGUAUAACUAACGAUUGUAAGAAUUGUACAUUUUAUAGGUGAACUUUUACAAUAAAUGCCAUUUUUUGUUACGGGG